GACGAACGCUGGCGGCGUGCUUAACACAUGCAAGUCGAACGGAAAGGCCCUGCUUUUGUGGGGUGCUCGAGUGGCGAACGGGCGAGUAACACGUGAGUAACCUGCCCUUGACUUUGGGAUAACUUCAGGAAACUGGGGCUAAUACCGGAUAGGAGCUCCUGCUGCAUGGUGGGGGUUGGAAAGUUUCGGCGGUUGGGGAUGGACUCGCGGCUUAUCAGCUUGUUGGUGGGGUAGUGGCUUACCAAGGCUUUGACGGGUAGCCGGCCUGAGAGGGUGACCGGCCACAUUGGGACUGAGAUACGGCCCAGACUCCUACGGGAGGCAGCAGUGGGGAAUAUUGCACAGUGGGCGGAAGCCUGAUGCAGCAACGCCGCGUGCGGGAUGACGGCCUUCGGGUUGUAAACCGCUUUCGCCUGUGACGAAGCGUGAGUGACGGUAAUGGGUAAAGAAGCACCGGCUAACUACGUG
rnacentral:rRNA from 1 species